AUUUCAGGUAGCAAUAUUUUGAAGUCGGAGCGGCGCAAGGGUGCGUAACACGUGGGUAAUCUGCCAUGAAGUUUGGGAUAACUCGCUGAAAGGCGAGCUAAUACCGGAUGUGAAAAUUGAAAGGCAUCUUUUAAUUUUCAAAGCUGGGGACCGUAAGGCCUGGCGCUUCUUGAUGAGCCCGCGGCCUAUCAGCUAGUUGGUGAGGUAACGGCUCACCAAGGCUAAGACGGGUAGCUGGUCUGAGAGGACGACCAGCCACACUGGAACUGAGACACGGUCCAGACACCUACGGGUGGCAGCAGUCGAGAAUUUUUCACAAUGGGCGCAAGCCUGAUGGAGCGACGCCGCGUGGGGGAUGAAUGGCUUCGGCCCGUAAACCCCUGUCAUUCGCGAUCAACCCUUAUUAUUUAAAAGAUGAUAAGCUGAUAGUAGCGGAAGAGGAAGGGACGGCUAACUCUGUGCCAGCAGCCGCGGUAAUACAGAGGUCCCAAGCGUUGUUCGGAUUCACUGGGCGUAAAGGGUGCGUAGGUGGUGAGGUAAGUCGGAUGUGAAAUCUCGGAGCUCAACUCCGAAACUGCAUUGGAAACUACCUUGCUCGAGGGUUGGAGGGGGGACUGGAAUUCUCGGUGUAGCAGUGAAAUGCGUAGAUAUCGAGAGGAACACCAGUGGCGAAGGCGAGUCCCUGGACAACUCCUGACACUGAGGCACGAAAGCUAGGGGAGCAAACAGGAUUAGAUACCCUGGUAGUCCUAGCCGUAAACGGUGCACGUUUGCUGUAAAAGGAAUCGACCCCUUUUGUGGCGUA
rnacentral:rRNA from 1 species